UGGGGAAUAUUGGACAAUGGGCGCAAGCCUGAUCCAGCCAUGCCGCGUGAGUGAUGAAGGCCCUAGGGUUGUAAAGCUCUUUUGUGCGGGAAGAUAAUGACGGUACCGCAAGAAUAAGCCCCGGCUAACUUCGUGCCAACAGCCGCGGUAAUACGUAGGGUGCGAGCGUUAAUCGGAAUUACUGGGCGUAAAGCGUGCGCAGGCGGUUUUGUAAGACAGAUGUGAAAUCCCCGGGCUUAACCUGGGAACUGCGUUUGUGACUGCAAGGCUGGAGUACGGCAGAGGGGGGUGGAAUUCCACGUGUAGCAGUGAAAUGCGUAGAGAUGUGGAGGAACACCGAUGGCGAAGGCAGCCCCCUGGGCCUGUACUGACGCUCAUGCACGAAAGCGUGGGGAGCAAACA
rnacentral:rRNA from 1 species